CUCUCUCUCUCUCUCUCUCUCUCUCUUCCCUAAUGCCAUUUCUUUUGCGAUCCUCUUUUCCAGGGGCCUCCCCAAGUCCACAGUGCAUUUCACCUGGGGUGAGGCUCACCUCUCCGGGCCGCAGUCACCAUGCAGACUGCUCUCUUUCCUGUGUACCUUGUUUUUUUUUCCGCUCUCUCUGUGCAUCCCACGAGGCGCUGCACUAACUGAUGGAAUGCACGCAGGUGCCAGAGAGGUAUUGGAAGCGCCAUGCAGAAAGCUUUACUAAAAAGAGCCAGAUUUGCAGUCUCCUAUCCUGGCUCCAACCGUAAGCAGGGACAAGGAAGUGAAAGGACCUCUCUUUGGAACAAAUGUCUGUGCUGGAUCUGGCCUCUGAGCAAGAAGAAGGAGUCCCGCACACUGCAAGAUCAAAGAGCCGGGAAGAACACGCACAGAUUGAGUCUGGGCCUGAGAGAAAUAGCACCGUGGUAUAGAAGCAGUUUCUCUCCUUAGCCCUCAGUCACUGGGUGUGUGAUUUUCCUGAUACCAGGGCUUUCUGAUGCCGGGAGUAAAAUUCUCUGCUGAAGCCUUUGACAAGCCUCAGCUCCUGACGUCUCACUCUCAAACCCUACUUUAAAAGCACAUCUGUUAGUUUAGAGCAUUUUUAGUUUAUUGAAGAAGCCUUCACAAAGAAAAAAAACAGAUGAUGAAAAUCUCAUCUGUCAAAACUGUUAUUAAAACCAGUAACAGUGUGAAAUUUUGUUUAAAUUGAAAGCAUCAUUUAUUUUUAUCAAACAUUUUAUAAACAAUCAUAUUUGAGAAAGAUUUGGGGGACCUGGAGAGCCCUCAACGAAAGGCGGCUCAUUAUGCUACUUCCUUUAUAACGUGUGGCACCCACCGGGAUGGGCUGUGCUGCCUCCCUCUAACUUCCUGUGGUACCAAUACGGUGAAGAUACCAGCACAGAGCAGGGAUGGGCCUUCUGAGAGUAAACAGAGAGCAGGCAAAAGUCACAGACCUGAUAAGGUGGAAGAAACUGAAGUCUAGGGUGACUGACAAGAUGCCCACCUGAUCUGCCAUUUGCUGAUUGACAUGGCCCCAAAAUAUGAAGUCCCCAAGAGAGUUUAAAAAAGCAAAUGGAAAGGAAGGAUGGAAAGAUCAAGCUGAGUAGGGUGUGUG
rnacentral:lncRNA from 1 species